UAGCAAGGCUUACUAAUAUUUUGCUUGAAUGGGAGAUUUUAAGGCCUGCUUUCCUCCCUCGCUGAGGAAGGCGGAACUGCACCAGCCAGGGCCGUUCAGUUCCAUCAACAUGCAAAGCAUGUUGUGAUGUGUUUCUGUUCUGUGGCUGAGCUGCUAUAGCUUUUUUUUUUUUUAACUAAGCUCAUCUUGAUGCUUCUUAAACAUCAAGCUUUUAGCCUAGGCUGUGUCAGCUUUCAGUCGUGUUUUUAUUUUAUUACAAUGGAAUGGUUUUAUCCAACAUGGGGGUAAAUGGCUUGGCUAAGUGCUUUUGAAGCCCAGACUCAUUCUCUACUUAUACUUGUGUCCGCUCUUAAUGGAAUUCAAAUAAACAGUCCUCCAGCAUGAAAGGCACUCUAUUAGAUUUAUUUCUAAAUUCUUUUAAGGAUGUCAACAUGCAGCCCUUGGAUGUGAUGGGAGAGGCAUAGCUGAUCAACCCCCAUGGCUGCCGUGAAUUAGUCU
rnacentral:lncRNA from 1 species